AACAUAUUCCGUUACAUGCGUUUGUUUUUCUUUUUUUUUUUUUUUUUUUUUUUAUGUGUGUUUAUCCGUAUUUUAGUCAAAAUGUACGCGACCCAUACUUUCCAACCACGUAAACAAUUACACUUUGAGUGAUAUGUUUUGACGCUAUUUUAAAUUAGACCCAACCACAAUGUGAAGGUAGCGAGAUGGAUCGCAAGUACGCCUGGGCCAUACGAUUAUGCGAGGCUUCCCGAUUAUGCCGUGAUGACUUUCAUUCAUCGUAAUAAGGACGACUUCCUUGGCCGGGUGGUUCAUUUAAAAACUUCGCACGCGAUUGUUACAAUCAAGAUAUCGCGAUACGUUUCCUGAAACGUUUAGUGCAGGGAUGGGGAAUCUGCGGCUCUCUCGUAUAUUACGCGAAUCAUUCAUCUUCUUCGUUAAUACGCUUUUUAAAUUUAUUUUUAAUGUUAAGUAUAUUUUAUAGUGGAAGAUAGCGAGUAAAUUUUUACAUACACAGUGGUAACUGAAACGAGUGAGUGCCAAAGAUAUUCUUUCCAUUUGGUUUUACAUAUUACAACACGAACAAGAUCCAAUACAAAGUCCAUUUUUUUGAAUUGGAAAGGUGUCUACACUCGCAUAUAAACGUGAUAGGUUAAGCAGUUUUCAAGUCACGACGAAGCAAAUACUCGGGCAAACAAAAAUUCCGAAAGCACUAUUUCGGGCGUUGUUAUCAUUGAACAAGUCUAUGCAAUGUAUGAAUUAGCGAAGUGACGUGGUUCCCCACUUCUGUCUUUUUUAGUGUAAAUACGAUACAAUUCUUAAUUUACAUAAUUUGCAUGCAAAUAAGUAUUACGAUUAAAGUUACUGCUAGCCAACGUAAGUGUGUACAUUUUUAUUCGAAAUACAAAUACGUACGAUAGUAGAUAACACAAUUUUGUCUUUUUGAAUCGGAUUCGCUUUGUACUCGAUUAAACAGGAAGAGAACGACCCGUCGAACAAUCAGUUAGCGAUGCAUAAAACCGUGUAUAUGCAAGUCUUUUGUUGUGUUUGCAUACGUAAUAAUCACGUUCGCGAGAACCACGGAAACGUACGGGUUGACGUUGAAAGUAUUUGCAUAUUUUUACGUGCACGCAUUAUGCGACGGACGCGUGAUGCUCACGUGUCUGGUGUUAACAUGUGGCAAGAAAAAGAAAAAAAAUAGACAACGAUAACUUCGAAUAAUUCGUUUCAUUUUUCGACGUUACGAUAACUGGUAGAGAUAUGUUCAGUCAUAAUUGAGGAAAAAGAAAACAAAUUAUACUAUUUAUUGUUCCGUCGGACAUGCGUUUUUAUUUUGGUAUGGUUGUUCUUGUUUCCUUAUUUAUUUAACGGGAACGUGAACGUGUGGAGUAGACGUCCUUAUCAACUAAUCACAAGUAUGAGUGUACGUUAAAUGAUACUUCAAUGUAAGUCAGACAAAACUGCUAGUUCGUGUUGUCAUCAUUUAUUUUCCAGUUUUCUUUCCAGCAGUGGGGUGAACACUGUGCUGCGUCGAAUGACGUUUCGAUGAGAGAAUUUUGGUCGUUUAAAUAACGAAUAAAUCGCGUAUCGAUUAAAUUCUAGUCAUCGCAAAUCGUGGAACGCGUUACGCGUGACGAAUUGAACAGAAAUGUGUUCCAUGGAAGAAGACAGGGAAAACGCGAUUUCGAAGAAGACGAACUUCUCUUACGGCAAAGAAUAUUGUACGCGAUCUGAAACAUGGUAUAAAUAUAACUGCCGUCCCAAUCUAUUUUAAAACGCGAAAGGAUGCGCGUCUCGUCUUUGAUAUUUCUUUUUCUUUUUUUAUUAAAUUUUGUAUGUCGUUGCGUAGUUUGUCGAAGUGCUAGGUUUCAGGUCGUGGCACAAAAUCGGAUGCGCCAUAGUCUGUGCCCUGAUUAAAAUAUGAUUAAGGUCCAUAGACUAUGGUACACCUGUACAGUACUUUGUAAAUUAUUUAAAUCAAUUAUUUGAGAGUACAACAAAUAUCGAGUUUACAAGUUAUACCACACAAAGUAACCAAAGAACAAAAUUAAUUUAUGCGAAUGACUAAAUAAGACUUCGCUUGUGAUGAUUUAUCUGUGAUAGUUUACAAUGUGUGAAAUCCAGUAUUAUUAAAAGUAUUAUAAUAUUUAAAGAAACAGUCAACGACAAUGUCUUGUAUGUUAUGGAUUAAUAACCACAGACUCUAUUAACGAAAUUGUAUAUACGGAGUACCUGUAAUCCACGGUAUUGACUUUUAUACUUUUUAUAAUUUAUAAACUCUAAGAAAUGCAUUUUUAUAUGUUCUGAUUAUGUAAUUAACUCCGUAUGCAAGGAAUAUAAAGAAUAAAGCGUUCCUGUAGACGCUUGUAUUUAUUAUCUUCUGAA